ACUAAACAGUGAGAGAGCUUUUCCCUGCAGUCUUCUUGAAGCCCCCCUGGUUUUUUGCUCAUUGUUGGUGGGUGCAUUUUAAUUUUUUCAUUCCUUGGACUAUGGGUUAUGAUAUCCAUAUUCACUGAAGACAAAAAGCCACCUUUUCUGCGUCUCGGUGGCAUGCCAUGUCUCAUCAUCCUUUCAAACUUGUGGUGGAACAGGGUUUUCUUCCCUGUCUGUGUAUUUUGAGCCAGCACAGUUACCAAAAUUGAACUUGUCUUUCGCUUGUGAGCGGUUGUGGUCAUUGUGAGGUCAAAACCUGGGAUGAGGAAAAGAGUCUGGGCACAAAAUUCCAGGAGUCUUCACACUCGGGUUCAUGGCAAAGAAAGAAGCCUUUGACCUUGCUCCUGUUCCAGGAUCAGAAAUGUCACCAUUCAGAUUUUAAAAUGAAAGGGUCAUUGACAUUAAGUGGGACAGAUGAACACUGGCUCCCAAAGAUGCCAUUGUCCAGAAAUAGGCAGCCAUUUGGGGUCUUCAAGAGACACUUCUAAUGAGAAAUACAAAACAGAAAGCUUGGGAUUGCUGACAACUGCCCGCAGCUGAGACAACUGUGGUUAAGUCAGGACACUUUGAUGUGACAUGUUGCUCGAUGUUUUUCAAUGUGGGCAGCAGAACUCGGGGAAGUUCUUCCUUGAAUGUUGCGUUACAUACAUUGUCCUCUGAGAAGGAAGGUGGCUAUCCUUGGCAAUGGUUUCUAUUACUAACACAACUAUGAACUGUGGUCAUUUUCAGACAAGCUGCUUCCCUCCCCCCGGCCCGUGGUUUGUUUGGUGUUAAACGUCUCCUCUUGGUUUCUAUGGGUGAAUGAAUUGUUCUUAACAUGGUGUCCUCUAGGAUGUGUGCUCUAUCCAGUGGGGCCUGUUGAGAACUGCCUGAACACAGUCCAUACGCUGCCUAAGUGCACUCCUGCGGCUAAAAUAAAUCUCAGCCCUAAUGACUGGAUCCCUCAUCCUGACCCAAGCCUGAUUAAGAGAGCAGGGAGACUCUGUAACAGUGACAUGU
rnacentral:sRNA from 1 species